rnacentral:piRNA from 1 species
ACCUUUGUGGACUAGUAACAGGAGGAUGUC